AAGAAACUUUUCAAUCGGAAGCCUAAUUUCUUGACGAACAGAGAUGCAUGGGCUGGUACCUUUGAGAACUAUUUUUACAUUCGAGAUACUCCUCGUGAUGAUUGUCCAGAAAGGCUACCCGAGGUGAAGACAGCACUGAGGCCAUGGGGACGUGGAGGAGACAAGGAGCUCUCAGAAUUCCAGGUUGAACUGAUCCAGCUCGCAUCGCAGCUCGUUGGUGAUUAAGUGCUCAAAACCUAUCCAGAUAUUGGGAAAACCAUGACAGUGGAAGAAGCUAACAGAUACGCAGAAGAUGCAGUGAAGAGGUUCCUGGAAGCUGGAAAGGCUGCUCUCAGAGCUGGCGCAAAUGAGUCUGCCAUUGUCACGAUGAGACCUUCCCUUACCAGCAGAGUUGCUGCUGGAGAUAACCAAAACUAUUUGAAAAGCCAGUAAUUCUUCCAUCACACGGUAUGUAUGUAUAUAUUAGACUUUAAUCCAUUCUAUGCCAAAAACAAAAAUUAUGUAUAGAUAUUUUCUAAUGGCACAAAAACUUAGGUAAUAUGUUCUAUAUGAUUGCUAUUAAAGUUCACUGAAAAGUAAACAAAGAACUUUUUAAUGAGUUGAUAUUGUGAUGAUGAAAUAUAUCAAUAAAAUGUAUUUGUAUUAGUUGAAGAAUUUGACUGGAAACAUAUUUUGAAUUUUAUCUGUUACCAA